rnacentral:rRNA from 1 species
CUUUGCGGCAGCCUACACAUGCAGUCGAGCGGAUGACAGGAGCUUGCUCCUGAAUUCAGCGGCGGACGGGUGAGUAAUGCCAAGGAAUCUGCCUGGUAGUGGGGGACAACGUUUCGAAAGGAACGCUAAUACCGCAUACGUCCUACGGGAGAAAGCAGGGGACCUUCGGGCCUUGCGCUAUCAGAUGAGCCUAGGUCGGAUUAGCUAGUUGGUGAGGUAAUGGCUCACCAAGGCGACGAUCCGUAACUGGUCUGAGAGGAUGAUCAGUCACACUGGAACUGAGACACGGUCCAGACUCCUACGGGAGGCAGCAGUGGGGAAUAUUGGACAAUGGGCGAAAGCCUGAUCCAGCCAUGCCGCGUGUGUGAAGAAGGUCUUCGGAUUGUAAAGCACUUUAAGUUGGGAGGAAGGGCAUUAACCUAAUACGUUAGUGUUUUGACGUUACCGACAGAAUAAGCACCGGCUAACUCUGUGCCAGCAGCCGCGGUAAUACAGAGGGUGCAAGCGUUAAUCGGAAUUACUGGGCGUAAAGCGCGCGUAGGUGGUUUGUUAAGUUGGAUGUGAAAUCCCCGGGCUCAACCUGGGAACUGCAUUCAAAACUGACAAGCUAGAGUAUGGUAGAGGGUGGUGGAAUUUCCUGUGUAGCGGUGAAAUGCGUAGAUAUAGGAAGGAACACCAGUGGCGAAGGCGACCACCUGGACUGAUACUGACACUGAGGUGCGAAAGCGUGGGGAGCAAACAGGAUUAGAUACCCUGGUAGUCCACGCCGUAAACGAUGUCAACUAGCCGUUGGGAGCCUUGAGCUCUUAGUGGCGCAGCUAACGCAUUAAGUUGACCGCCUGGGGAGUACGGCCGCAGGUUAAAACUCAAAUGAAUUGACGGGGCCGCACAAGCGUGGAGCAUGUGGUUUAAUUCGAAGCACGCG